rnacentral:rRNA from 1 species
AUACGGAGGAUGCGAGCGUUAUCCGGAUUUAUUGGGUUUAAAGGGAGCGUAGGUGGGAUAUUAAGUCAGCUGUGAAAGUUUGCGGCUCAACCUUAAAAUUGCAGUUGAUACUGGUUUCCUUGAGUACGGUACAGGUGGGCGGAAUUCGUGGCGUAGCGGUGAAAUGCUUAGAUAUCACGAAGAACUCCGAUCGCGAAGGCAGCUCACCGGGCCGGAACUGACACUGAUGCUCGAAAGUGCGGGUAUCAAACAGGAUUAGAUACCCUGGUAGUCCGCACAGUAAACGAUGAAUACUCGCUGUUUGCGAUACACGGUAAGCGGCCAAGCGAAAGCGUUAAGUAUUCCACCUGGGGAGUACGCCGGCAACGGUGAAACUCAAAGGAAUUGACGGGG